rnacentral:rRNA from 1 species
UACAGAGGGUGCAAGCGUUAAUCGGAAUUACUGGGCGUAAAGCGCACGUAGGUGGUUUGAUAAGUCGGAUGUGAAAUCCCUGGGCUCAACCUAGGAAUUGCAUUCGAUACUGUCUGACUAGAGUAUGGUAGAGGGGGGUAGAAUUCCCGGUGUAGCGGUGAAAUGCGUAGAUAUCGGGAGGAAUACCAGUGGCGAAGGCGGCCCCCUGGACCAAUACUGACACUGAGGUGCGAAAGCGUGGGUAGCAAACAGG